rnacentral:misc_RNA from 1 species
AGGGGACUUUAGCAAGGGAGCAUGAAUAGAAAUGGUACUAGGAGCGCUAAAACUGAACCUUCUUUGAAAAUUUGGCAUUGUAAAACAGGUCGGCAAAAUAGGAUCAGCUCAACCCCUCAAGGUGGCCCAGUGCCAACUUCAGGACUCCCCAUUUUUAAAGCUUUCUGUUUCCAUUCAUAGAUACUGUGAUGACCACCACCACUACCGCAGUCGUCGCGGAAAUUUGACUGUGAAGGUGAUUAGUCUCUGUCGAUA